UCCAGACUCCUGCAGAUAUGCCAGGGCUUUCACCUCGCAGGCACUGGGCUAGUUUAUGUACAAUGACUGUGUUUAAGCCUCACAUGUGAGUUUCUAGGUUUUGUGUUCUUGCAGAGAAAGGCUGCACCGCCCUGAUUUCUAAGACACGGCAGUCAUGGUGCAUGGUGACUUAGAACACGUGGCCACAGUACUGGCCGGGGAGGCGGUGGAGGCAGGAAACGGGAGGAGCAGGGUCAGGACCGGCUGAGUCAGGACUUAGGGGCUCUCCCUGGACCCAGCAGGGUGCUGGGCUGCACUGGUGAGUACAGACAAUGAGGAUCUCUCACCUCCAUCACUGUGUUAAAUAUCAGGCCCUUAGCAGGAUAUCAUUUCUAUUAGUACUUUCCAAUUUUUGGAGGAAAAUGAAAAAAUUAAUUAGAAAGAAUUCAGAGAAGGCAAAGAUAAAGGUUUAAAAAAAAACCUGAAUAUAUGUCUCAUAAAGAAAGUUUAUAACUUGGACUCACUUAAGGUGGAAAAAAUAUUAACUCCAGGGGGUAAAUUCCUUUUUGUGUAUGGGCAUAAAGCUGUAUGGUUACUUUCCAUCUUUAAAGGAGAACAAAAUAGGAGAAGAAAAGCUUAAGGAAAAAUUUGUGAAGUGUUUACUGAAAAACAUUAAAAAAAAAAAAAAAGCUCACAAAGAGCUAAACUCGGGGCAACUUUGCCAUCUGAGUUUAACAGGAGGCUGCUCAGGUUCAACUGUCCGGAGGGAGACGCAGCCAGAUGUCACCGGGACACUACAGCGAAGUUCUGUAACUGCACCCUUUUUACUACGGGACUCAAGCUAUAGCAGGCCACAAAGAGACGGAGGGCCAGACAGACUGUUGAAGAAAUUCCAGCAAGUACAUUCGAAGUUGGAACAUCAAAAGGAGAACUAGAGUUCUAGAAUGCCCUAAUCAUAAUCUAGAAAUUACUUACUUUUUUAACACUUCAAGGAAAAAAACCUGAACUCUUGCUCUAGUUAGCUCUCCAGUUAUCUACAGGAGUAUUUUAAUAUAUUCCAGGAGGCCAAAGUAUUUUCUACGCAUCUCUUGUGAUGGAUGAAAACUAAACAAAAGGAACAGGUUAAAAAAUAAUCUCAGACACGCACAGACCUCCGAGGUUCCUAGCAGAGUCUCUGAGACCAGCACCAGCCCCGCCUCUGUCAUGUGCACAUGAUGGAUCCCUGACUCUCAGGCUUUUAUUCACACGGUACCACCUGAGGACUUUUCGGGUUAUGGAUUAUUUCUACAGGAAAUAUACACAUCUGUACAGUCAUUUCCAAGUAGAGAAUUAAUUUGGACUUGGCUCGAGUAAAAUUCUCUAACAUGUAUAUCAGGCUGCAGCACAAGGAUCUCCCGUGGGAGU